CAGUAGCCGCGGUAACACGUAGGGUGCAAGCGUUAAUCGGAAUUACUGGGCGUAAAGCGUGCGCAGGCGGUUAUAUAAGUCAGAUGUGAAAUCCCCGGGCUCAACCUGGGAACUGCAUUUGAGUCUGUAUGGCUAGAGUGUGUCAGAGGGGGGUAGAAUUCCACGUGUAGCAGUGAAAUGCGUAGAGAUGUGGAGGAAUACCGAUGGCGAAGGCAGCCCCCUGGGCCAAUACUGACGCUCGUGCACGAAAGCGUGGGGAGCAAACAGGAUUAGAUACCCCGGUAGUCCCUGUCUCUUAUAC
rnacentral:rRNA from 1 species